UUACCUGGUUUGAUCCUGCCAGUAGUCAUAUGCUUGUCUCAAAGAUUAAGCCAUGCAUGUCUAAGUACAGGCCGAAACAAGGCGAAACCGCGAAUGGCUCAUUAAAUCAGUUAUGGUUCAUUGGAUCUUACCUUGUUUUACUUGGAUAACUGUGGUAAUUCUAGAGCUAAUACGUGAUACCCCAGCUCCGACCGCAAGGAAAGAGCGCUUUUAUUAGAUCAAAACCAAUCGGGCUUCGGUCCGUUCUCACUGUGGUGACUCUGAAUAACUUUGAGCUGAGCGCAUGGUCUUCGAACCGGCGACAGAUCCUUCAAGUGUCUGCCUUAUCAGCUUUCGAUUGUAGGUUAUGCGCCUACAAUGGCUAUAACGGGUAACGGGGAAUCAGGGUUCGAUUCCGGAGAGGGAGCCUGAGAAACGGCUACCACAUCUAAGGAAGGCAGCAGGCACGCAAAUUCCCCACUCCCGGCCCGGGGAGGUAGUGACGAAAAAUAACGAUGCGGGACUCUUCCGAGGCCUCGCAAUCGGAAUGAGCACACUUUAAAUCCUUUAACGAGGAUCUAUUGGAGGGCAAGUCUGGUGCCAGCAGCCGCGGUAAUUCCAGCUCCAAUAGCGUAUAUUAAAGUUGCUGCGGUUAAAAAGCUCGUAGUUGGAUCUCAGUUCCGGACCGACGGUUCACCGCCCGGUGCUUACUGUCGGCUUCCGAACAGCCGCACGCCGGCUCGGCCAGGGUGCUCUUCAUCGAGUGUCCUGGUUUCGGCCGGCACGUUUACUUUGAAAAAAUUAGAGUGCUCAGCGCAGGCUGCAAUGCCUGAAUAAUCUGUGCAUGGAAUAAUGGAAUAGGACCUCGGUUCUAUUUUGUUGGUUUUCGGAACCCGAGGUAAUGAUUAAUAGGAACUGUCGGGGGCAUUCGUAUUGCGACGUUAGAGGUGAAAUUCUUGGAUCGUCGCAAGACGGACUACUGCGAAAGCAUUUGCCAAGAAUGUUUUCAUUAAUCAAGAACGAAAGUUAGAGGUUCGAAGGCGAUCAGAUACCGCCCUAGUUCUAACCAUAAACGAUGCCAACCAGCGAUCCGCCGGCGUUAUUCCCAUGACUCGGCGGGCAGCUUCCGGGAAACCAAAGUCUCUGGGUUCCGGGGGAAGUAUGGUUGCAAAGCUGAAACUUAAAGGAAUUGACGGAAGGGCACCACCAGGAGUGGAGCCUGCGGCUUAAUUUGACUCAACACGGGGAACCUCACCAGGCCCGGACACCGGUAGGAGGGACAGAUUGAGAGCUCUUUCUCGAUUCGGUGGGUGGUGGUGCAUGGCCGUU
rnacentral:rRNA from 1 species